AUUUUAUAUAUAUAAUAUAAUAUAUAAAUGUAUAUCUGAAAUAGGUGUAUAUUUAUGUUUGCUCUCUCCUAACUUUCUCCCUCUCGGCACUAACUUGGUAGCCAGUGUUAGCAACUUAGUGUGUUUCGUUACAGCUUUCUCCAUACCAGUAUAGUUAUAUCCAAAACAGAGACGCACAUACACAUUUCCUGUUGCUGUCUGUCUUUUUGAAGGAAUCAACAAUUUUAAACCGACUUCUCGGAUUUUUGCUCUUCUCACCUGACAGUGCAUUAGGGAGCCUUCUUUAUCAUGGGAAUCUGAAGCCCAAAGAAGUUAUACUGCUGGCUCA
rnacentral:lncRNA from 13 species